UACGUAGGUGGCAAGCGUUGUCCGGAUUUAUUGGGCUUAAAGGGUGCGUAGGCGGCUGUUUAAGUCAGUGGUGAAAGCCGAUCGCUUAACGAUCGAACUGCCAUUGAUACUGAAUAGCUUGAGUACAGAUGAGGUAGGCGGAAUUGACAGUGUAGCGGUGAAAUGCAUAGAUAUUGUCAAGAACACCGAUUGCGAAGGCAGCUUACUAAAGUGUCACUGACGCUGAGGCACGAAAGUGCGGGGAUCAAACAGG
rnacentral:rRNA from 1 species